AUGACUAUAAUCGUGUAAAAAUCCACAGAUCAGAAGCUAAUGAAGAUGAUGAUUUUAUUAAUGCAUCAUAUAUUCAUGGUUUCAACAGGGAACAAGCCUACAUUGCUGUACAAGGUCCUUUCAAUCCUAAGACAUUAGAAGAUUUUUGGACGGUAAUAUGGCAGAGCAACUCCACAAAAAUCGUUAUGUUGACCAACCUGUGCGAAGGUGAUAAGGUGAAG